UUAAGGCACAAAUGGUGAAGUCUUUGGGUCAAAAUUUUAAAAUACAAACAUGAGGUCGGGCACGUGCCCUAGUGAACAGAUACAGGAAGGAUGGUGCAAAAAAUACAGAAAAUAUAAAUGCAAAGUACGGGAAAAUAAAAAUGUUACAGUACAAACUAAUGUUGUAGUAAAGGGGGGCGGGGCUACAUCCACAUCCAAAAGAAGAAAAAAAAUACAAAAAUUAAUAAAAAUUGCAAGUCCUGCCAUUUGUAUUCCCCAAGUUUCCUGCGCACAAAAGGAAAAAACAAAGUCAGGAAAUAAAAGAAAAUACCUUCGCAUGUGCAAUCUGCCAGCGCGGGGAAUAAAGGGGGAGAGAAAAUUGGCGCCAAAGCAAGGCCCAAGACUCCCUAUAAGUAGUGAGUCUCACACUAUAGCAGGCAGGAUCAGAAAGCAUAAAAAAUCUCUGUUGAAAUUGAGAGAGAUAAAAAUCAGAGAGCAAUAGAGAAAAUAUAGGAUAUUGAGAAUUGAGAUGAGAGCUAGAGGUUCUGCAGAAAUUGUGAGAUCGAGAGAAGAUGAACUCAGGGAGAAAAUUCUGAAAAAUUUGAAAACAGCAGAAAAGCAGAAAGAACAAUCCAUCAGAGAAGCAUUCAGAGCUCCUCACACCCUCAGAGUCUCAACCAGACACCCCAAAUAGACAACCAGAGUACGAGGAAGAAGACCGGAGGAGUUGGAAGUUGGAGGUAGACAAAGUUUUUUUUCUGAGCAUGCGAUUAUGAUAUAUGAAUGGCAAUUGAGAAUGCAGGAAUUUUCUACCCUCAGGUUUUAGGUUCAUGCUCGAACCUGGAACUAGUACCUUAGUUCCCAGAUCCAAGCCUGCACUCGGAUUCGAACUUAUUCUGAAAAUCACCCUAACCCGAAUUUGAAGCCCGACCCCUCUAACAUGUACCAGAAUCAAUCCCAUACCCACAUUCGGAUUCGAGCCCGCUCCAAACCACACUCAGGACCCGAGCGCUCUAUCUACAUUUUAAAACCCAGGACCUUGUUUGAAUUUUAAAACCAAAGCCCAACUGCUGAAAGAGCCCGGGCCUGUGCUUCAAAUUUCCUAAACCAACUCAAGCGCAUUUCAAUUUUUCACCCGAAGCCCAGUUCCCGUUUUAAAAGAUCCCAGCCCAAUAACCGGUUUCUAAAAUAACCCGAUCCAUAGCCCAUUUUGGAAAACUCAGCCAAAGCCCAUUUUGGAAAAAAAAAAAUCAUUUUAACUCACACGUGCUUGCAAGCACAUCACGCACUCGGGGUAAUCCGAGCCUUCACGGGUCAACUCGCACGAAUCAACUCGUCGUUCACUCACCUAUGACGAGACGAGAUCAACUUGUCUUCCUCCCUCUGCCCCAACUGAGCAUGAGCCCUAAUCCCCAAAUGCUACAACCGACUCACAACGCAGAGAUUUGAACAAUACAACCAGUCUUUGAUUCACUAAGCUCACAUCACACGUCAGAUCUGAGGAAAAAAAAAACAAAAAAAACAAUCGACAAAGGAGAAAGAAAUACUUAUCUUAAUAUUUUCUUUAGAUCUAGCACCCAAGCCUUAUUAUUAAAGUCCCCAUCGGAUUUUCACUGACCACCAUGGCAGAGACGAAGGAAACCGAAGCCUCAGUUCAACGCACCAAGAGAAAAGCUCUGAAGCUGGAGCUAGAACCUCGAUUUUUGAGAGCUAGAAGCUGUAGGUGUCGGGUCUUUUAAUGUUCGAAUGGGAAGACCAUUAGAGAUGGGAUUGAACCCGAGGGUUCGAAACCGUUCGAGAGGAGCAGAGGGCUGAAGCUAGAGCGUUCUGAGAGGAUCAGAUUUUAGUUCGGUUCCGAGAAAGAAAGACUCUGAGAACCGGAGGCACACGGGAGGAAGGGUCGGCUGGGGAAACCGCUACCGGUGUGUGCGGUUAUUUUGAGAUCUGCUUUGAGGGUUGCGGCCGGCCGUGAGAGCGAAGGAGAGAGAUGACUAUGGCUACUCUAGUGUGUCCGUGAGGACGAGAGUAUGGUGGUUGCGGAGGAAAUCUCAGAGAUCUGAAACGCAAUGCGUUCGUCGUCGCCGGAGUUGCGGAGACCGGUUCCGAGUGCCCGGCCAACGAAGAGGCCGUUGUCGGAGAGAGGCGAUUUAGGUGCCAGCGCGGUUUCGGCGGCGGCAUCGUCCUUUUCACUGAACAUACCGGAUUGGUCGAAGAUCCUGAAGGAGGAUUGUGAGGAGAAUCGGGGAGAGAGAGAGAGAGAGAGAGAGAGAGAGAGAGAGGGUGAAAGAGGGUGAAGGAUUUUUUUUCAUAUUUUAUUAUUAAUUUCAAAUAAAAUAUUAAAUAAUACUCUAUUUGGAAUGGAAAAAAAUUUUCCAGUCUAAUGUUUACGUAAUCUCACAUUACCAAGCUAUGAGAUUUAAACGUGUAACGUUUCUCAUAGUGACGCUUAGCAAUGUGGGGGAAGUAAAUCUCGCAGGAUCAAGUUACAAGAUUUUCUUUGGAAAUGACCCGUGACCUGACGUGUGACAAAUUUUGCAGGACCAAGUUACGAGAUUUGUUUCGUCCAUUCAGAUGCCCUUUCUCUUUCAGUUUUCUUCGCCAACAGAGCAAGGAGAGCAAAGAGAUAUUGAUAAGAGACGUGUGCAGCAGAGCGGAGGGUAGAGGUCGAAUGAUUGCAGGUUACCGUUGCUCGUGAACGUUGAGGUGGAAGCUACAAAAGGGCAAGAUGGAGUUUUUAUAAUCUCCUGAGGUUGAUCUAAAUGGCAGGAAGUUCGAGCAGUGCUCCGGUGAUGGUAUUGUUGUAUAUUGGCGGGGGAGUUAUCACCAGAGUAGAGGGUGUUUGUUAUAGUACUAUGUCGGUUCAGCCAAUUCAAAUUGAUCAUAGGGAGAUGUGCUGUGCCACUCACCUGUCGAAGACUCAGAUUGCUAGCCCACUCCUCUUACUACAAGUUUGGACUUGGGAGAGAUUUCCAUCCUUGGCUACUAUGCAGCGAGGUUUCCUGUAGAUUCAAAGGGGCCAGAACGGUCAUCCAGUUGACCCACUCCCACUCGCAUACCGAUGGAGGGAUGACUUGAGGGGGUCGUCAGUUGCGCAAUACACAUUACCCUAAUACAAGUUCGAGGUGGACAUGCACCGAGAGCAUGAGGGCAUUCUCGACCGCUUCUUGAUGUUGCAGGUAGAUGUAGUUGGGGAUGACUUCCAUGGUAUGGAUGGAUGCGGUCGAGAGGUCACGGACUGGGUGGCUACACAUGCAAUCUUCGCGAGUGCGUGGAAGCAUCAGUGAGGGGACAUCGUACCAGGAGUGGUAGAGGAUGGUCCGAUGUGUCCGGAUGACCCAUACUUUACCUAAUAUAGGUCCAUCACACGCCGCUUCGUCAACGGGACCGCUAUUAUAUAUUUGAGCCUUGCUGACAUACUACAUGAGGUAGAUCAGAUCUCACCAGAUCCCGCUAUCCACCGAUUGAUAUGUGCUGCAUUGGACCUUGUCCAUGAGGAUGGCCGACAGAUCCCAAUUGCUUGACCUGAUGUGCCUGCAUAAGGACGUCGACCAGCUCCAGUAGAAGGAGGAAGACAUGCCUCCUCUAGUCGUCCAGUGAGUCCCAUCUCCUCACUACUGGUUGUACAGGAGGAGUAGGUGUUCGGUUCGUCAGCACCGUAUGCGCCUUCCAAUGCAAUUGAUAUUGCAUGACUGUCCAGUAGACAGGCCGACGCCCCAUCUGAUUUUGCUACCACCCCCAUCGACGUCAUUUUUAUUAGACAACAUUUUCAGUGGGGAGGAGGUCGAUGCACCCGCUAUGUUGCUUCGUUCUCGUCCAGAGACAUCAUAUCGGUUCUCUCCGCGUACGCUUAGCAUGGACAAUGAUUACGCAGUACCUCUUGGCAGAGAUGAUCCACAUACAGGACGAUGACGGGAUAGGACACCUAAUGUAGAUGACCAGCAGGGAGAGGGUAGACGCAAACGGUAGCCACCACGACCCCAGAGACGACCUCGCUGCGGCACCGAGUAGUAUAACAUUAUUGUCAUUUUAUUUGUAUAUCAUUGAUUAUUUUCAUUUCAUUUGUAUAUCAUUGAUUAUUUUCAUUUCAUUUGUAUAAUAUCGUUCUAUUAUUUAUGUAUAAUUGAGAAUGUUUAUUCAUUUUCCCCAACAUGUAUAUGUGAAUGAAAGUAGUGCAAUUAUCAUCGUUGUCCUUAAAUAAAAAUUUGCGCUUCAUUUUUUGAAAA